GCUCGUGACGUCCGCCGUCGUAAAGCAGACGUCCAGCCUUCACUUUGACUCCUCAGUCACAAAAGCCUCCUUUUCCCAUUUUCCCAUUCGCUCCUCGCUGGCAGCAACAUGUUGGGGUUUUCACUCUCAUCUGCUUUAUUUUUUAACUUCUGUCUCGUUAUUGUUAUAAUCGCUGCAGCAGAAGCGCAGACAGCCUCUCCGGCUCCGGCUGCGGCUUCUUGCAGCCUCAAGUCCAACAGCAGCUGCGAUGAGUGUCUGCAGAAUGUGUCUUGCUUGUGGUGCUCUUCAACCCAACAGUGCAUUGAGUACCCAGUGAAGAACAUCCUGCCCCCCAACAGUGUUUGCCCACUGAAUGAUGCACGAUGGGGUGUGUGCUGGGUCAACUUCCAGAUACUGAUCAUCACGAUGUCGGUGUUGGCCGGAGUCAUCAUCGUCGCCGUUCUCGUCUGCUGCCUCUGCUGCUGCUGCAAGUGUGAGAGGAUCGGAAACAAAAGAGAAGAUGCGCAGGUGGCGAGACAGACCCGAGCGAGGAAGGCCCGUCAGAAAGCCAGGUGAAUGGCUAUUGAGAAGACAGAGAUCCAGCUGAGGCAUGAUGAAAUCAGGCAGAAAUACGGCAUGGCAAAGGAAAAUCCAUAUGCCCGCAUGGAUGAUCAUUAGGAGAAGUGUCAGUGAAGAGGAUCUUUUGGACGCCAGUAAUAACGAGAUACAGCCAUACGAGUAUCUGUUGACAAACUGUGAUCUCCUGGAUUAAUUUCAGUGUGCCAGUGUUACAAAUAAAAAUCUUCUCUUUGCUAAA